rnacentral:lncRNA from 1 species
AGGAGGGUCCCCACAGACCAGGCAGACCAGAUGGUGAUGGCUUUAGUCUGGGCCACAGCAGCCUGUGCCCCUCAGUCUGCCUUUUCCAUCUCAGGAAAAGCCCCACCCUCCCAUCCACCAGGGGCACUGGUUUCUGCACCAGCUGCCUCCCCCUCUCCAGUAAUGGCCUUUGCUUUGCCUUGGAGGAGCCCACCCCUGUUGGACGCAGAUGAAGAUGCCAAGGGGAGCCUGGCUGACCAUGGAGCCAUCAUGGAGGGAGGCAGAGCUGAGGGCAGGGGGAGGUCCCAGCUGCAUCACAGGAGCCCCUGGAUCCAGCCACACCUGAAGUUCCAACGUCGCACGGUGGGACUCUGGACAGGGUCCUCCCUCUCCAUCUUCCCCUCGCUGGGACCCAGCACGGCACAGGAGGGGCGGCCAACACCAUUUAGACAUCAGAACUGUCCAGAGUGUUCUGCCCUCUGUCUUAAGUCACGACCCCGGAUUCCCCAGGCAGCCACACACAGCGGUCUACACCGGGAGAAAGUCGCCGUGAGAACCGUGGCACCGCAGGAGGCUGUGCGUGUUUGCUUUU